rnacentral:rRNA from 1 species
CAGUAGCCGCGGGAAUACAGAGGGUGCGAGCGUUAAUCGGAUUUACUGGGCGUAAAGCGUGCGUAGGCGGCUUUUUAAGUAGGAUGUGAAAUCCCUGAGCUUAACUUAGGAAUUGCAUUCGAUACUGGGAAGCUAGAGUAUGGAGAGGAUGGUAGAAUUCCAGGUGUAGCGGUGAAAUGCGUAGAGAUCUGGAGGAAUACCGAUGGCGAAGGCAGCCAUCUGGCCUAAUACUGACGCUGAGGUACGAAAGCAUGGGGAGCAAACAGGAUUAGAUACCCCCGUAGUCCCUGUCUCUUAUACA